CUGACGAGUUGGCGAACGGGUGAGUAAUACAUCGGAAUGCAGCCGAUCGUGGGGGAUACGGAGCGAAAGCUUUGCUAAUACCGAUACGAUCUACGGAUGAAGCGGGGGGAUCUUCGGACCCUCGCGCGGACGGAGCGGCGAUGGCAGAUUAGUAUUGGUGGGAUAAAAGCUUACCAAGCCGACGAUCUUGUACUGGUCUGAAGGAUGAUCACACACUGGGACUGAGACACGGGCCCAGACUCCUACGGGAGGCAGCAGUGGGGAAUUCUUGGACAAUGGGGGCAACCCUGAUCCAGCCAUGCCGCGUGCAGGAUGAAGCCUUCGGGUUGUAAACUGCUUUUGUACGGAACGAAAAGACUCUGGUUAAUACCUGGGGUCCAUGACGGUCACCGUAAGAAUAAGCACCGGUAACUACGUGCCACAGCGGGUAUACUAGGUGCAAGCGUUAAUCGGAAUUACUGGGCGUAAAGCGUGGCAGGCGGUGAUGUAGACAGAGUGAAUCCCGGGUCAAUGGGAAUGCUUGUGNCGAUGUCGUGGAUGCGGGAGGGGAUGGAUUCGGUGUUAAGUGAAUGCGUAAAUAUGGGAGGAACGAUGGGAAGG
rnacentral:rRNA from 1 species